GAUGAACGCUAGCGGCAGGCUUAAUACAUGCAAGUCGAGGGGCAGCACGAUAUAGCAAUAUAUGGGUGGCGACCGGCAAACGGGUGCGGAACACGUACACAACCUUCCGGUGAGAGGGGGAUAGCCCAGAGAAAUUUGGAUUAAUACCCCAUAUUAUAAUGGUCAGGCAUCUGAUUAUUAUCAAAGGCUUCGGCCGCUUAUUGAUGGGUGUGCGUCUGAUUAGGUAGUUGGCGGGGUAGAGGCCCACCAAGCCUGCGAUCAGUAGCUGAUGUGAGAGCAUGAUCAGCCACACGGGCACUGAGACACGGGCCCGACUCCUACGGGAGGCAGCAGUAAGGAAUAUUGGACAAUGGACGCAAGUCUGAUCCAGCCAUGCCGCGUGAAGGAUGACUGCCCUCUGGGUUGUAAACUUCUUUUAUAGGGGAAGAAAGUUAUUUUUUUUAGGAUAUUUGACGGUACCCUAUGAAUAAGCACCGGCUAACUCCGUG
rnacentral:rRNA from 2 species